rnacentral:rRNA from 1 species
CAAUCGUGUCCGAUAAGGUUAUUGUGCGGUGCUGGUGUCGCUGAAUGGAUUCGUUCAUUUGUCGCCCUACUGUAUGAUAUAUGUACCUUGUUGAACGCGUGCACUUUUCUUCUGGUAGGACGUCGCGAUCCGUUGAGUGUUGAUUUACGGUUUGAAUGGUAGCCUGUCAAUGGAGAGUUCUUUUGGGUUCUUUUUGAUAGACCUUUGAUACCCGAUCAACUGGCUCGACGGUAUAUAUAACGGUUCUAGGCCGCUAAUUUAAAAGCGUUCGGCUUGUGGCAAGCAUGUCAAAUGUUUCGGUACAUCGGACCUAGUGCCGUGUCUGAUCCUUGACUACUGUUGGCCACUUUGUCUCGAACAGACC